GCCGCUUCCAAGCCAAAAUCAGGCCGCCACCAGCUCCAAAAACCUGAUCCAAAGCCACUAGGACCAUAACAGUUAGGAAAUGUCCCUAAGCAAUCCAGUCCCGGUGCCCCUUGUUCCCCAAUUAGAACCGCAGGUUCCGGCCUGGAACGGAACAAGAACGGUGGCCAAGCCUCCCUGAUACAACUAAACCCAACGCCAUUGCCAUCACUUUCAGUUACUCCAUAAGAGCCACCACCAAUUUUCUUCCGAAAAUAUAAAUUGUGGAUCAUUUCCGCCUGCUCUUAUGUCGACCUUCAAAUGAGGCUACAAUAGAAACGUACUGCACUUUCCCACCACAAAUGAUCAUCUUAUAAUAAUACCAAGCAAUAUUAAUGGGUCACUUUCCCAUAAUAUUUCAACAAUUUGAUAUUUUUCUUUCUGGGUUCUACCUUUUAUGUGAUUUGAACAAUCAUAGGUUUCCUUAUUUUCGAAAAUGCAUAUUAUGCGUACAGCUGGGUUUCUUAGUGAUUUAAUUAACCUGAAUAUUAGGCGAUUUUUUAAAGAGCAUCGUAAGCUUUGCUUGGAUUUUGGAAUCUGGGUACGAUUUAAAUCGGUAAUCGAAUGUAUCUAAGAGAAAAUUUAGACUUCUGAAUCAAAAUAGAUGUAUAAAUGAUCCAUUUAGAACAUAAAGUUCAUAUUCACCAAGUCCGUUUGAUCUUAUAAAUCCAGAAAUUAAUUUGAAGGAGUAAGAAAAAAGGGAACUUACUGGAGUUGGCCAUGGAGAUUUCA
rnacentral:misc_RNA from 1 species